ensembl:lincRNA 1700023G09Rik RIKEN cDNA 1700023G09 gene
GGACAGCAAACUUCCAGUGCUUUCUGCGCAUGGAGAUGAGAUUAUUAGACAGAUGCAGAUCAAAAGAAUUCCCAAGGUGUUCGGCUGUAGCACAGAGAGAGACUUUGGGAUUGGAGAAGCCAUCAACUGUCAAUAGCUGCUUGGUUAGGGGCCAGCACUUCUGGACCUCUGGCUGCGGCCUGGGACACAGAGGUGUCUUUUUUUAAUCUCAUUUUUUUUAAAGUGCGCAUUUAGAGCUACAUUUAGAGGGUCUUGCUUCAGCUACUGUCAAGGAGGCUUGUUAGGAAGUGAGUAAAUGUAAUAAAAAU